CCUACGGGAGGCAGCAGUGGGGAAUAUUGGGCAAUGGGCGCAAGCCUGACCCAGCAACGCCGCGUGAAGGAAGAAGGCUUUCGGGUCGUAAACUUCUUUUGUCAGGGAAGAGUAGAAGACGGUACCUGACGAAUAAGUCACGGCUAACUACGUGCCAGCAGCCGCGGUAAUACGUAGGUGGCAGGCGUUGUCCGGAUUUACUGGGUGUAAAGGGCGGGUAGUCGGGUUGACAAGUCAGAUGUGAAAUCCUUCGGCUUAACCGGAGAACUGCAUUUGAAACUGUUGAUCUUGAGUACUGGAGAGGCAGACGGAAUUCCUGGUGUAGCGGGGAAAUGCGUAGAUAUUGGGAAGAACACCAGUGGCGAAGGCGGUCUGCUGGACAGCAACUGACGGUGAGGCGCGAAAGCGUGGGGAGCGAACAGGAUUAGAUACCCCAGUAGUC
rnacentral:rRNA from 1 species